GAUAAACGCUGGCGGCGUGCCUAACACAUGCAAGUCGAACGCCCUUUUGCGCAAGUGAGAGGGAGUGGCGGACGGGUGAGUACCACGUGGGUACCUACCUUGAGGUGAGGAAUACCACCGAGAAAUCGGUGACAAGACCGCAUACGCUUGGCAACAAGCAAAGUCUCGCAAGAGACGCCACAAGAUGGGCCUGCGCCUGAUUAGCUAGUUGGUGAGGUAAUGGCNCACCAAGGCGACGAUCAGUAGCUGGUCUGAGAGGAUGAUCAGCCACACUGGGAUUGAGAACGGCCCAGAC
rnacentral:rRNA from 1 species